GAGCCAGAGGGCCGGGGCGGGGCCAGGGCUGGGGCGGGCCCCGGCCGAGGGGAAAAGGAAGAGUGAGUCCUGGCCCUUCCCCCACCCGCCUCGCCCGCGCCGCCUCUGCCUCUUGGGAGUCCAUUGCUGUGGCCCGGAGGGCGGGGACAAGACAGACUCACGCCUGGAAUCCCAGCCCUUUGGAAGGCUGAGGCAGACAGAUCAUCUGAGGUCGAGAGUUUGAGACCAACCUGACCAACAUGGAGAAACCCAGUCUCUACUAAAAAAUACAAGAAUUAGCCACGCAUAGUGGUUUAUGCUGUAAUCCCAGCUACUCAGGAGGCUGAGACAGGGGAAUCACUUGAACCUGGGAGGUGGAGGUUGCGGUGAGCCAAAAUCACCCUGUUGUACUCCAGCCUGGGCAACAAGAAUGAGACUCUGCCUCAAAAAAAAAAAAAAAAAAAAAAGUCUUGCUUGCGGGGCCAGGCACAGUGGCUCACACCUCUAAUCCCAGCACUUUGGGAGGCCAAGGAGGGUGGAUCACCUGAGGUCAGGAGUUCAACACCAGCCUGGCCAACAUAGUGAAACCUUGUCUCUACUAAAAAUACAGAAAUUAGCCAGGGGAGGUGGCAGGUGUCUGUAAUCCCAGCUACUCAGGAGGCUGAGGCAGGAGAAUUGCUUGAACCCAGAGCGGGGUGGGGGGUAGAGGGAUGGAGGUUGCAGUGAGCUAAGAUCAAGCCUCUGUAUUCCAGCCUGGGUGACAAGAAUGAAAAUCUGUCUUGAAAAAAAAAAAAGUCACUGGGCACGGUGGCUCACGUCUGUAAUCCCAGCACUUUGGGAGGCUGAAGCAGGUGGAUCACCUGAGGUCAGGAGUUCAAGACCAGCUUGAUCAAUAUGGUGAAACCCCCAUCUUUACUAAAAUUACAGAAAUUAGCUGGGUGUGGUGAUGUGCGCUUGUAGUCCCAGCUAUUUGGGAGGUUGAGGCAGGUGAAUCACUUGAACCCGGGAGGCAGAGGUUGCAGUGAGCUGAGAUCAUGCCACUGCACUCCAGCCUGGGUGACAGAAUGAGACUCCGUCUCAAAAAAAAAAGUCUUUAUCAUUUACUAGAAUAAAACAGCUGCCUUCUUGAGGCCUUUCUUCUAAAACUGCAUAAAAUAAAAAUCUUCACUUUGCUAUUUGAUGACUCGUUAAAAAUUAAAAGAAACUUUUCAUUCCCCCAGUCUUCUGUUGGAGGAGAAAUGCUCCCAGUUCCUUAAAUGUUAACAGUAACACAAUUUCCAGAUGCCAUACCAACUGGCCACUGUCCUUUAGACAGUCAGCAGUUAGACAAUAUUGCUUUUAAAAUGUGACACCAGGAAGGGAAACUGAUAUCUUAAAUGUAAUCAGCCUAGCCAAGCAUCCAGGGGCUCCUGCAAGUGCGCAGACUCCCACAGUCAGUGUGCCCUAAACCUGAAUUUGGUUUUUAACCAGUUUUGGUACCCCCAGUUAUUAUGACUCUUGACUUGCAAAACUAACUUUAAAAAGAAAAAGGUACUGCUUCUUCUUUUCAUGCAAGCAACAUGUUCUCAUUGUGGAAAAUACAGAUAAAUGUUCGAAAUACAUUAAAACUCUUCAGAGAUAAUUCCUGUCAAUUGUUUACUCUGUUUUUUCCCAGAUGGUUCUCUUUGCAUAUCUUGAUGUUGUGGAGAUUAUGGCAUAUGUACAAUUUUUGCAUUCUUAUUUUUUCACAUUAUCAACAUAAAUGUUUCCCUUCUUAUAAGCAUUAUCUGUGUUUCUCCCAAAAUAAAUACUUCAGAGAUUUAUUUACAAGGA